rnacentral:rRNA from 1 species
CCUGACUGCUAUCGGAUUGAUACUAAGCCAUGCGAGUCAUUGUAGUAAUACAAGGCAGACGGCUCAGUAACGCGUAGUCAACCUACCCUAUGGACGGGGAUAACCUCGGGAAACUGAGAAUAAUACCCGAUAGAACAUUAUACCUGGAAUGGUUUAUGUUUCAAAUAAUUUAUUGCCGUAGGAUGGGACUGCGGCCUAUCAGUUUGUUGGUGAGGUAAUGGCCCACCAAGACUAUUACAGGUACGGGCUCUGAGAGGAGUAGCCCGGAGAUGGGUACUGAGACACGGACCCAGGCCCUAUGGGGCGCAGCAGGCGAAAAAACUUUGCAAUGUGCGAAAGCACGACAAGGUUAAUCCGAGUGGUUUCUGCUAAAGGAACCUUUUGUCAGUCCUAGAAACACUGGUGAAUAAGGGGUGGGCAAGUUCUGGUGUCAGCCGCCGCGGUAAAACCAGCACCUCAAGUGGUCAGGAUGAUUAUUGGGCCUAAAGCAUCCGUAGCCUGCUUUGUUAGUUUUCGGUUAAAUCCAUGCGCUCAACGUAUGGGCUGCCGGGAAUACUGCAAAGCUAGGGAGUGGGAGAGGUAGACGGUACUCGGUAGGAAGGGGUAAAAUCCUUUGAUCUAUUGAUGACCACCUGUGGCGAAGGCGGUCUACCAGAACACGUCCGACGGUGAGGGAUGAAAGCUGGGGGAGCAAACCGGAUUAGAUACCCGGGUAGUCCCAGCUGUAAACUAUGCAAACUCGGUGAUGCAUUGGCUUGAUGCCAAUGCAGUGCCGCAGGGAAGCCGUUAAGUUUGCCGCCUGGGAAGUACGUACGCAGGUAUGAAACUUAAAGGAAUUGGCGGGGGAGCACCACAAGGGGUGAAGCCUGCGGUUC